CCUCACUCUCUCCCCUCGCAACACACACACUAACUCUCUCCCCUUGCAACACUCAGGCCCAUUCUUAUAUAUAAUCAUUUUUGCGCCCAAGGACACGUAUUUGACGAUAGGCUUUUGUGUGUGUUUAGGCCAUUUUCCAGGGGUGGUUUCAUGGCCCUGGUGGUAGUGUGACCCUUCCUCUGUACCAUGAACCCAAGCGCACACAUUUAACAAGGCUUUCGUGGGAGUUUAGGGCAUUUCCAGAGGUGGUUUCAUGACCCUGGUGGUAGUGUGACCCUUCUUCUGUACCAUGAACCCAAGCGCACACAUUUAACAAGGCUUUCGUUGGAGUUUAAGGGCAUUUCUACGGGUAGUUUCAUGACCCUGGUGGUAGUGUGACCCUUCUUCUGUACCGUGAACCUAAAACCACUCAUUGAAACCCACGUGACCUCCUAUUCGGCCUUUUAUUUUUUUUUUACAACAAAGGAGACUUCAAAAAAGAAAACAAUAAUAAAUAAAAAGCCCGCUACUCGCUGCUCCUAAAAAAUGAAUCAAAAGAGGUGGAAAUAGAUGAUAUGAGGAGAGGGCUUGAAGCGUCUCACAGUACUAUAAAAACUGUCAUAAAACUACCCUCCCUGGAAAUCCCCUAAACACCCACGAAAGCCUUAUCAAAUGUGUGUCCUUGGGUUCACGGUACAGAAGAAGGGUCACACUACCACCAGGACCAUGAAACUACCCCUGGAAAUACCCUAAACACCCACGAAAGCCUUAUCAAAUGUGCGUCCUUGGGUUCACGGUACAGAAGAAGGGUCACAUUACCACCAGGACCAUGAAACUACCCCUGGAAAUGCCCUAAACACCCACGAAAGCCUUGUCAAAUGUGCGUCCUUGGGUUCACGGUACAGAAGAAGGGUCACACUACCACCAGGACCAUGAAACUACCCCUGGAAAUGCCCUAAACUCCCACGAAAGCCUUGUCAAAUGUGCGUCCUUGGGUUCACGGUACAGAAGAAGGGUCACACUACCACACAACCUCUGGAAAUGCCCUAAACUCCCACGAAAGCCUUGUCAAAUGUGCGUCCUUGGGUUCACGGUACAGAAGAAGGGUCACACUACCACACAACCUCUGGAAAUGCCCUAAACUCCCACGAAAGCCUUGUCAAAUGUGCGUGCUUAGGUUCACGGUACAGAAGAAGGGUCACACUACCACACAACCUCUGGAAAU